UCGGAUACUACAUUGUCAUCUCCGGAAUAGUUGGAAACCCUUCAUCUUUCUGAGCUGAAUGUGACUCCAGCCUUGAAUCCAGUCAACUGAGAAUACAGAUAGGAUCCUGGGACACCAGAACAGAUGCAUCCUUUAGCAGUUGAUUGUGCCC
rnacentral:lncRNA from 1 species